UAACAUUGCUAUAUUCAGUAGAGAAAUUUAAUAGAAUAGCAUAGAAAAGUUGUUAUAUGACUAGAAUAUCAUACAUCUUUUAUAAAUUACUAGAAUAUUUUUUAAUCCCUAGUAAUUUAUAUUAAAGACACUCACUUAGUCUUUUAAUUGGUAUUAGUUUUAUUUAACAAAUAUAUGUCACAAAUAAUUCCAAUCCACGUCACUAAUAAUUGUAGUCUCAAUUGAACGAUGUUCAACUUAAAUUUUCCGUUGUUAAAAAGAAAAUUAUCUUUCGUCGAUUAAACCCUCACCACCAUUUGAGUCGGCAUUAUCUUCUCUGAAAUCAUCAACUUCGCAAGUGUCUACUUUGAAAUCUUCUAAAAUUGUCUUCUCCGUUGAUUUAUAUAUGCAGUUGUGGCUGAGUUACUUCCUGCGAAUCUCCGAAAACAUAGAUUUAAGCAGUUUUUGUUCCGAGGAGAAAAGGUAAAGACAUUCCAAAAACACCCAAGUUUGCGAUUGUGAGGUGUAUUCAUUGAAGUUUGUCAAGUGUAUGAUGGACAAUACUUUUUUGGAAGAAACAGAUUCUCGGUUGGACUAAUGACUGUAUUCAUCUCAAUCUCACGCUUAUUGAAGAGGCAUGUGAUUAUAUUGUUAAAAGCUUGAUUCUUUGUUUCUGCAUGUGGUUGAUCUGGUUUCAUUGUGUGCAUUGUUAAAAAGAACGUGUCUUUGGCUUUUGUUUUGAUUGAGAUUUGAAUGACAGAGAAGCUCGAGCGAGAAGAGAAUGGAGGAGACAGAGAGAAGUGACAGAUUCAAUUGAGACGAAGCAGAGGAUUUCAAUGAAGCUUGGAGACAUGGAGGAGUUAUCACAGAAUAGUGCAGCAAACUUGUAUUUUGUGUUAUCUAUAAGAAACAUAACCGAGCCGUGUAUUUUGUAUUUGACUUAUGCUAUGUUUACACAACUCAGCUGUGUUUUUAUAUAUAUCAGCUGUAUUUUUUAUAUAACUCAGUCAUACCUCAAACAUACUCUA